ACAUGCCUACAACAUAGCGUUAAUGCACCAGAUCCCAUUAGAAAUCCACAGUUAAUCACACUCAGGAUAGAGUAGUACUGGGAUGGGUGACCGCCCAGGAAGUCCUAGUGUUUUACAUGCC
rnacentral:rRNA from 1 species